CCUCUUGGAAGCGCCACUUUAGUGAUCAAUUCAGAUCUCUACAGAUGCCCUCACAUUGUGUGUUCUUUGACAUGCAAAGAGAAGUUAAAAUUGCCUCAGAAAUUAUGAUCCCCUGGACACCUUUAACUACUGACUUGCAGGUGAAGUCCUGUGAAACUCACACUUGCUGGCAAAAGGUUGGAGUUACUUUUGGGGAUCAUGCAGGGCUGAAGCCAUCUUGAAAAGCACCAUAAGAAGAUCCCCCUCUAUCUGGACAACAAAAACCAGACUCAUAUUCGCAUCCUCACUGACAUUAGCCCCUCUAUUUCCUCAUGUCCUUUGUAGAAUAAACGCAUAAAGAUGAAGUUACUCGCACAA
rnacentral:lncRNA from 1 species